rnacentral:lncRNA from 1 species
AGAUGAUCAUAUCUCCUGUUCCGGGCAGACACAUUUCUGGCGCUAAGACCAGGGCCCCUAUUCAGCCUUAGUGGAUAAUUCAACCUCCUGAGAGGCACUGCAGAAGCACCUGGGCCAAGAUUGCUUUCCUCUUCUACGCCUAUCCCAGGAAUGUGGCCACUGCUCAAAAUGUGGGAAUUCCCUUCCAGAAUUCCCCUUGAAGCUGCUGCACGCUUCUUAGACCACGUCUGAGCAAUGCCUGCAUCACUAGAAUAUUUGGCCUCAGUUGGGUUUGUUUCUUUAAAAAAAAAAAAAAAAAAAAAAAAAAAAAAAAAAAGGUUUUUUCCUCAACUAAGACUUAAGACAAGGGGGUCUUAAUUUGAUUAUUUUUUUCUGUUUUAUAUGAUUUCUAUGAAAACUACAACAAAAUAAAGUUAAUUCUAUUUAAGUGACUUUUUAAUGAAUUGCCUUUGUUAGAAAAAAAAUUAAGUGUUUUUGUCUCAAGUUGUGUGCCACAACGCCUGGCUAAUUUUUGUAUUUUUUUGUAGA